rnacentral:rRNA from 1 species
GGAGUAUGGGCCGUGUCUCAGUCCCAUUGUGGCUGAUCAUCCUCUCAAACCAGCUACUGAUCGUCGCCUUGGUGGUCCAUUACACCCCCAACUAGCUAAUCAGAUGCAGACUCAUCCCAGAGCACCGGAGUUUUCAAGAAUACCAUUUCAGGUACGCUCAUAUGGGGUAUUAGCAGGAGUUUCCCUCUGUUGUCCCCCUCUCUAGGGUAGAUUCUCUACACAUUACUCACCCGUCCGCCACUUAUGUAUCUCCGAAGAGACCUUAUCGUUCGACUUGCAUGUAUGAAGCACGCCGCCAGCGUUCGUC